AGAGCCCUAAGGCACCAGACCAAAUCUGGAGCGUUUGUUACAAGGGCAGAAGACCGGCGUGAUCUCCCCACGCGCGCCGGCCGGUGCUGCUGGUGGAGAGAACUGACAUCUAACGCAUGUGGCCCAGGAGAACAAAACCUUCCAUUGCACCCCACGCCGCGACUCUCCCCAGCGAAAGGUGCUUCUUUUGGAAGACCGCACGAAGUAAGGAAGAGCCUCUUUUCCUCUUCCUGGAUAUCCCUCCAGGAAUAUUAGAAGCUCCAGGACUCCUUGAUACGACCAGGAAAAGAUCGCAACCGGGUCUUUAAAAUAUCGAUUCCAGCCAGCUUCUGCGUGCUUGACACAUCUUGGCAGAUGGAGAAGUCAAGGCAAUAGAUAACAUGGGCAGCAAAGAUUCUGCUAUAGCACUUCUUUCCUUUCUGUUUUUUCCUUCCCUCCUUCCCUCCUUUUCCCUCUUCUCCCUCCCUCCUUUCCUCCUCCUCCUCUCCCCUUCUCUUCUCCUCCUCCCUCCCUCCCUUUCUCCCUUUCUCCUCUCUUUUCCCCUUCCCUCCCCUGUUUUCGUCCUCCUGAGUACAGUAGACAAGAGGGCUCUCUGUCUACCCCCCCUCCCCCACCCCAUUCCUCAUCCCGUUUCAAAAUAAGAGCGAAUGAAUCACAUUCUAAGCUCUUACCCGUGCAGUUCUGACAAGUUUGGAAAUUACACAAAUCGCGUUUGCAAUUGAGGCCGCGGGAAUCCAAAAGGGAAACAAACGAAACCAGAUGAAAAAAAGUGAUUCCAAGUCAAGAUUUCAAAUGGAAAUCUAAGGUUGAACCAGCCAAAUUUUCGAGACAGCUCACGGCUUAGAGGAAGGUUCAUCUAAAUAAAGGCCGGCUAAAGUGACAUUGCAGGGAUUAAAUCCUUCUUUGGCUGCCUGUGUGACCAGAAGGCUUAUUUGCAAGUUUCUUCUUUCCUGGGGUCCAGAUUAUUAGGUCUCCAGCGCCCUGCAGCUUGACAGAAAGAGAAGCAUGAAAUGAAGGUCAGAGAUGAGAUCCCGCAGCAGGGACGUGGGGGCCUCCCAGGGGCAUUUACGCACCAGAGUGCAAGAUUCUCUGGCCAUCAAGGGAAAUAGCAAACAGAAGCCUUUGUCCUGGGGCACAGCCACCUACCACAAAGCAUCAGACUCCACGUCUGGCCAGAAAGUUCCUGGAGUCCCAUCAGGCCAGUGGGUAUGUAACAUGUGCCUAAUUGUACAGCUAGAGCCUGCAAGUUCAACGUGAGGGAAGGUGGGAAAUGUCUUGAGUGAGGCGAGCAGCUCCUGGCUGGGCUGGGCAGACUCAGCUACCACGUUCACUGCCUUCCUCUCACUAAAGCCGAGAGGGAGGCUGCUCAGCUCUCAGGAAAACUCUUUUGAACCCUGGGCACCUGCUGUCCUCAGUUGGCAUCUCCCACCCUCUGAGCCUCUUCUGCUCCUGCACAACCUGCCUCUUCGCUGAGAUGGAGACGUGAGCCCCCGUGGACGAUGACUGCAGUGUAUAUGAAUGGAGGUGGCCUGGUGAACCCCCACUAUGCCCGGUGGGAUCGGCGCGACAGUGUAGAAAGUGGCUGUCAGACCGAGAGUAGCAAGGAGGGUGAGGAGGGACAGCCCCGCCAGCUGACGCCCUUCGAGAAACUGACACAGGACAUGUCCCAGGAUGAGAAGGUGGUGAGGGAGAUCACGCUGGGGAAACGGAUAGGCUUCUACCGAAUUCGAGGGGAAAUCGGAAGUGGAAACUUCUCCCAAGUGAAGCUUGGGAUUCACUCCCUAACCAAAGAAAAGGUGGCCAUUAAGAUCCUGGACAAGACCAAGUUAGACCAGAAAACCCAGAGGCUACUAUCCCGAGAAAUCUCCAGCAUGGAAAAGCUGCACCAUCCCAACAUCAUCCGCCUUUACGAAGUGGUGGAGACCCUAUCCAAGCUGCACUUGGUGAUGGAGUAUGCAGGGGGUGGGGAGCUCUUCGGAAAAAUUAGCACUGAGGGGAAGCUCUCUGAACCAGAAAGCAAGCUCAUCUUCUCCCAGAUUGUGUCUGCCGUGAAGCACAUGCAUGAAAACCAAAUUAUUCAUAGAGAUCUGAAAGCAGAAAAUGUAUUCUAUACCAGUAAUACUUGUGUGAAGGUGGGCGAUUUUGGAUUCAGCACAGUAAGCAAAAAAGGUGAAAUGCUGAACACUUUCUGUGGGUCUCCUCCCUACGCUGCGCCUGAACUCUUCCGGGACGAGCACUACAUCGGCAUUUACGUGGAUAUCUGGGCCUUGGGGGUGCUUUUGUACUUCAUGGUGACUGGCACCAUGCCAUUUCGGGCAGAAACCGUGGCCAAACUAAAAAAGAGCAUCCUCGAGGGCACAUACAGUGUACCGCCGCACGUGUCAGAGCCCUGCCACCGACUCAUCCGAGGAGUCCUUCAGCAGAUCCCCACGGAGAGGUACGGAAUCGACUGCAUCAUGAAUGAUGAAUGGAUGCAAGGGGUGCCAUACCCUACACCUUUGGAACCUUUCCAACUGGAUCCCAAACAUUUGUCGGAAACCAGCACUCUCAAGGAAGAAGAAAAUGAGGUCAAAAGCACUUUAGAACAUUUGGGCAUUACAGAAGAGCAUAUUCGAAAUAACCAAGGGAGAGAUGCUCGCAGCUCAAUCACAGGGGUCUAUAGAAUUAUUUUACAUAGAGUCCAAAGGAAGAAGGCUUUGGAAAGUGUCCCAGUCAUGAUGCUACCAGACCCUAAAGAAAGAGACCUCAAAAAAGGGUCCCGUGUCUACAGAGGGAUAAGACACACAUCCAAAUUUUGCUCGAUUUUAUAAAUUGCACUAGACUGCUUGUAACUAACCAAGAUGAUUGUUGCUGCUUCUAAAUUUUUUUCAAGGACAACUUGAGUGGAGACAUUUUUGUAAUUUUUAAAUAAACUUAAAUUUGAGAUAUGCA